rnacentral:rRNA from 1 species
CAGUAGCCGCGGUAAUACGUAGGUGGCAAGCGUUGUCCGGAAUUAUUGGGCGUAAAGGGCUCGCAGGCGGUUUCUUAAGUCUGAUGUGAAAGCCCCCGGCUCAACCGGGGAGGGUCAUUGGAACCUGGGAAACUUGAGUGCAGAAGAGGAAAGUGGAAUUCCACGUGUAGCGGUGAAAUGCGUAGAGAUGUGGAGGAACACCAGUGGCGAAGGCGACUCUCUGGUCUGUAACUGACGCUGAGGAGCGAAAGCGUGGGGAGCGAACAGGAUUAGAUACCCCUGUAGUCCCUGUCUCUUAUAC